rnacentral:rRNA from 1 species
UACGUAUGGUGCAAGCGUUAUCCGGAUUUACUGGGUGUAAAGGGAGCGCAGGCGGCACGGCAAGCCUGAUGUGAAAGCCCGCGGCCCAACCGCGGGACUGCAUUGGGAACUGCCGGGCUGGAGUGCCGGAGAGGUAGGCGGAAUUCCUAGUGUAGCGGUGAAAUGCGUAGAUAUAAGGAAGAACACCAGUGGCGAAGGCGGAUGACUGGACGGCAACUGACGGUGAGGCACGAAAGCGUGGGGAUCGAACAGG